GUGCCAGCCGCCGCGGUAAAACGUAGGAGGCGAGCGUUAUCCGGAUUUACUGGGCGUAAAGCGCGUGUAGGCGGUUUCAUAAGUCGUGCGUGAAAGCUCCCUGGCUCAACCGGGAGAGGUCGUGCGAUACUGCGAAACUUGAGUCAGACAGAGGCAAGUAGAAUUCCGGGUGUAGUGGUGAAAUGCGUAGAUAUCCGGAGGAAUACCAGUGGCGAAGGCGACUUGCUGGGUCUGUACUGACGCUCAGACGCGAAAGCAUGGGGAGCGAACGGGAUUAGAUACCCUCGUAGUCC
rnacentral:rRNA from 1 species